GUGGGGAAUAUUGGACAAUGGGCGCAAGCCUGAUCCAGCCAUACCGCGUGGGUGAAGAAGGCCUUCGGGUUGUAAAGCCCUUUUGUUGGGAAAGAAAUCCUGUCGGUUAAUACCUGGCGGGGAUGACGGUACCCAAAGAAUAAGCACCGGCUAACUUCGUGCCAGCAGCCGCGGUAAUACGAAGGGUGCAAGCGUUACUCGGAAUUACUGGGCGUAAAGUGUGCGUAGGUGGUGGUUUAAGUCCGUUGUGAAAGCCCUGGGCUCAACCUGGGAAUUGCAGUGGAUACUGGAUAACUAGAGUGUGGUAGAGGGAUGCGGAAUUUCUGGUGUAGCAGUGAAAUGCGUAGAGAUCAGAAGGAACAUCCGUGGCGAAGGCGGCAUCCUGGGCCAACACUGACACUGAGGCACGAAAGCGUGGGGAGCAAACAGGAUUAGAAACCCGGGUAGUCC
rnacentral:rRNA from 1 species